AUCAAAUUAUUUUUUUUCUAUCAUUUAAAUAUGUAUGUGCCGGCAUUUGAACCGCCUCACGUGGAAUUAUAUUCGACAUCUCUACCUACUCGGCUACCUAUAAAAAUUAUAUGGGUGUCUGCAUUGGCGUUCAUUAAUAAACCAGGACAAUUUAAGUGUGGAGCAGUACACCAGGACAAUUUGCUUAAAUCAGGACAAAUCCUCGAAAACCAGGACGUCUGGCAGCCCCAACGUAGUAUUAUGGACAUCUAUAAAACUAUCACUUGCAUUUAGUUUUACUCGAUAACGCACUGAUCCUGUGACCUAUGACAAACUGCGGUAUUUACCACAACAAUAACAAAAUUAAUUCAAAAUGUGCCUUUCGACACCGAUCGUUUCCUCUUCGGAAGGUAGUACCUCAACAAAAUCUGCUGUCUGUGCCAGUACAACCAAUCUGAACAACAACACAAAUAAUAACAAUAAUAACGUUUGUACGUUGAAUGCAGUCGGAUGGAGCGAUCACGACGAAAAUAUAAGUAAAUCCAGUAUUAGAAAUAGAAUAUGCGACCCGCAAACACAAAAAUCAUGCGCAUUCGUAUGUAGCAACGUAACUGCGGCCAGUGAAGAAGAUGAGCAAUCCAAAGAUUUAGUUGAUAACUUAGGUUUUAAUGAAGAAAAUGCCGUCUACAAAGAAAUUCCACAUGCAACGGAUUCGAAUCAAUCCAUCCAAACACAGGCAUGCAGCAGCGAAUCCGAAUACAACCCACAGAUCAGGUGGUUAGACUUGAUAGCCCAGAUCUUUUUACAUGGCGGUGCUCUGUAUGGAAUUUAUUUGCUAUUCCAAGCAAAUUUCUACACAUUUUUGUGGGUGGUCGUCUGUGUUUGGUGCUCGGGCAUUGGCAUCACCGCUGGAGCCCAUCGUCUCUGGUCACAUAAGUCGUACACCGCGUCCUUGCCAUUGCGAAUUCUACUCAUAUUUCUUUUCACUAUCGCUGGACAGCGCGACGCCUACACUUGGGCCCUGGAUCACAGGAUACACCACAAAUUCUCUGAAACGGAUGCCGACCCGCACAAUGCCAAUCGGGGCUUCUUUUUCGCACAUGUCGGCUGGCUAUUCCUGACGCCACAUCCCAAAGUGAUCGAGAAGCGCAAAGUGAUCGAUAUGUCCGAUUUGGAGAAUGACAAAGUGGUUAUGAUUCAACAUAAAUAUUAUAUACCAUUGUUCGCGUUGAUCUCGAUCGGAUUGCCUGUACUUGUGCCAUGCUAUUUCUGGAAUGAGAAUUUAUGGUUGUCGUUUUGGAUAAAUUUCAAUCUGCGUUUCACUUGUACAUUAAAUGCUGCCUUUUUUGUAAACAGUGUUGCCCAUAUGUGGGGUAACAAGCCAUAUGAUAAAAAUAUUAGCCCCGUUGAGAGUCGCUUUGUGGCAUUUGUGGCACUGGGGGAGGGCUGGCAUAACUACCACCACGUUUUUCCCUGGGACUACAAGACUGGAGAGUUCGGCAGCUUCAAACUAAACAUCACGACUGCCUUUAUUGAUUUUUGUGCUAAAAUAGGCUGGGUCUCUGGAAGAAAAUCUGUGUCUUCUGGUAUGAUUGAGCGACGUGCCGCCAAAUGUGGCGAUGGCUCACGCUUUCUCAUCGACGAAUUCGUCCACAGGGAUCAAGUCUGGGGCUACGGAGACGAAGAUAUACAAAACGAGGAUGGCAUUGAAUUGGCCAAGAUGAAAUAAAUUGCACAAUUUUUAACUGCAUACAUACAUAUACAUAUAACGCUUCUUCAAGGAUGGAAAACCAAGAAAGCUUCGCUAGAAAUAGCGAUGCACCGCAACAACAACCGCCAGAAACAUCGAUGACAGCAGAAAACACAAUAAAACAGAGCUCCCAACGCAUUAAACGCGAAGCGAGUUGGCCUUCGGUGCUAUUUUAUAUACACUUGAAUAUACUUGGACUCUAUGGUGUUUUCGUAAUGUUCACCGGCGCUUCAUUCCUGACAAUUUUAUUCACCUUCACUUUGACCUUCCUCGGUAUUUUGGGAGCGACAGCUGGCGCUCAUCGGCUAUGGGCGCAUCGAACAUACACAGCUAGCACGUCGCUGAGGCUCUUCCUGAUGCUGUGUCAGACCUUAGCUG